rfam:Aedes albopictus isolate Foshan contig76144, whole genome shotgun sequence.
UAGCCUUGUGGAUAAGGUAUUGGAUCGGCAAUCCGGAGACGACGGGUUCGAUUCCCGU